CAAUAGCGUAUAUUAAAGCUGUUGCGGUUAAAAAGCUCGUAGUUGGAUUUCUGUCAAGUACAACUGGUCCGCCCUCCGGGUGAGCACAUAGUUUGGUCUUGGCAUCUUGCUGGAAAUUGUUGCUGCACUUGGCUGUGUGGCGCAGUGUCCAGCACUUUCACUUUGAGGAAAUUGGAGUGUUUCAAGCAGGCAAUGCCUUUGAACACAGUAGCAUGGAAUAAUUAGAUUGGGCCUUUGCUCCAAUUUGUCGGUUUCUGGAGCUGAGGUGAGAAUUAAUGGGGAUUGUUGGGGGCAUCCGAAUUUAGCCGUCAGAGGUGAAAUUCUUGGAUCUGCUAAAGACGGACAACUGUGAAAGCAUUUGCCAAGGAUGUUUUCAUUGA
rnacentral:rRNA from 1 species